rnacentral:lncRNA from 1 species
UUUUGAGCCUCUUUUUUUAAGUUUUUUUUUUUUUUUUUUUUUUUUUUUUUUUUUUUUGUCUUUUUAGGUCCGGCAUCCACAGCAUAUGGAAAUUCCCAGGCUUGGGGUCAAAUCAAAGCUGUAGCUACUAGCAUACACCACAGCCACAGCAUCACCAGACCUGAGCCAUGUCUGCGACCUACGCCACAGCUCACAGCAACGCCAGAUCCUUAACCCACUGAGUGAGGCCAGGGAUCAAACCUGCAACUUCAUGGAUACCAGUCAGGUUCAUUACCACUGAGCCACAAGGGGAACUCCAUAAGUCUGAUUCUUUUCACAAAGAAAAAAGGCAAGGACCCUUGUGAAUUGUCUCCAGAUCCUUGACUCUAGGGGAUGUAUGACAGAGAACAGAGAGGCUCGGUACUUGCCCAGAGGCACACAGCAGGAUUCCGCCAGGGGAGCUUGGGUAGAGGUAAGGUGACUUGUGGGUGGUACCCGCAUUGUGUGUCUCUGGGCAUCAAGUCUACAUCUUUUUCCUCCAGAGAAGAAAUGUAUGAAGCAAGACCCCUCUCCAGGAGCCUCUUCUUGUACACCUUCCUGCAAAACCAUGGCCCCAGCUUCCUGGACGAGCAAGUGGUGGGGGUUCCUGGCGUGACCAAUAUCUUGGAGUUCCACCCCGAGGUCUCCCCCCACAGCAGUGAGGCCCCCCAUCACCUGGCCAUGCAGCUGGCCUCCAUUGCCGAUGAUCUGGAGCUGAGGUUGCUGCUGCCCCAGUUCGCCGAGCCACUCUGGAUGAUCGUGUACAGCUCUUUCUUCCCCUUUAGCCAGAUAGGCCCGAGGGAUGUUCUUCGAAGCUUCAUGAUUGCGUUCACGAACCUCAGGGAGAACCGAAGGCUCAGGAGCAUCUUGUCCCUCAGGGACAGGGUGUCUCCCAGCCUGUGGCCCGAGCUGGCGCUGUCCCUGCUGCUGGUGGUGAUGCUUGCCUGGAGGGUCGUUACUGGUGAACGCACCUGCUCCCCUGGCCCAGCCCGCGCUGUGCCGAGAAGGUGCCUCCUCCUUGUGGGUUGGUCACAGCGGACGUCAGGGGGGGUGCUGGUCACACCCCUGUGUCUGUGA